GUUGUUGCGGUUAAAAAGCUCGUAGUUGAAAUUGUGUCCUGCGGCGUCGGUCUACCGAUUGCGGUACGACAGGCGCGUCAGCGGGGCUUCUCGCCGGUGCGUGUCUUCCGCCGGCACGUCGUCGUCGGUCCUCACGGGCAGGCGGCGCGUCGAGGCGGGCCCUCGCGGCUGUUUACUUUGAACAAAUUAGAGUGCUCAAAGCGGGCUUACAUUUGCCUGAAUAUUGUGCGCAUGGAAUAAUAGAAUAGGACCUCGGUUCUGUUUUGUUGGCUUUCUGAUACCAGAGGUAAUGAUUAAUAGGGACAACUGGGGGCAUUCGUAUUGCGACGUUAGAGGUGAAAUUCUUGGAUCGUCGCAAGACGGACUAAAGCGAAAGCAUUUGCCAAAGGUGUUUUCAUUAAUCAAGAACGAAAGUUAGAGGUUCAAGGCGAUUAGAUACCGCUGUAGUUCUAACCAUAAAUGAUGCCAGCCAGCGAUCCGCCGAAGUUUUUUACGUUGAUUCGGUGGGCAGCUCCCGGGAAACCAAAGCUUUC
rnacentral:rRNA from 1 species